AUGGGGAAGCGGUGGAGGUGGGGUGUCGUGGGGCCAGCCGUCCUGCACGUAGCCAGCCUCUACUGGGGCCCCUGCGCGGUGUGUAUCGCGCCCUAGGCCUGGGGCUCGUGUCGCUUACUCAGCUGGGAGUGAUCCCAAGGGGGGCACUGACCGCCAUGGGGUCAGGGCAGAGGCCCAACUCAAGUCCAACCCCUUCUACGACCGCUACCGUGACAAGAUCCAGCAGCUGCGCAGGUCUGACCCAGCUGCUUUUGAGUCUGGCCUGGAGAAGCACAGUGAGUUUCGGAAACGACCAGCGGGACACUCGAGGCAAGGUGAUUUUAUCAAAUGUAUGGAGAAGACAAAUGCCAUGGAGAAAUAGCCUAUCAGCUGAGGAUUCACUAACGCCAAGACUCAGUUCAGUCUUUAACAUUGAGAUGGCAAAAGAAAACCACAGAGGAAAUAAAACAGAUUUGCCAGCAGUAUUUUGCAGCAAAAGAUACAGUCUACGUGGUUAUUCCAGAAGAGAAGUUUGAUUUGAUCUGGAACCAGGCUCAGUCCUGUCCAACAUUUCUGUGUGCUCUGCCAAGAAGGGAAGGUUAUGAGUUCUUUGCAGGACAAUGGACAGGUACUGAAUUCCACUUCACUGCACUUACAGGGGAAGCUGCAGCCAGUCAGCUGGUUUUAUAUCACUACCCUGAACUUAAGGAAGAAAAGGGCAUAGUGCCAAUGACAGCAGAAAUGGAUUCCACAUUCCUGAAGGUUGCAGAAGCACAGUGCAUCGCCAACCAAGUUCAGCUGUUCUAUGCUACUGAUCAGAAAGAGACCUAUGGGUUAGUGGAGACCUUUAACCUCAGACCAAAUGAGUUCAAAUAUAUGUCUGUCAUCUCUGCACUGGAGCAAAGUGGACUUGGAGUAGAACUAAAAUGUGCCCAGAACCAAGAUAAGACUUGAGCUAAAAGAGUUAGCCCUUCACCAAGUCACUCAGCCCUGGAUAAUCUAGAGCCCAUCCACCCAUCAAGAACUCAAAAAGUUCAGCAUCUAUUAAUGAGCCAUCUGUACUGAGCUGCCCUGUGUGCUUAUUGCAAGAAGUGAUUCUGGAGAUGAGCUCUAUUAAUAUUCAGGAAUGAAGAUACCCAAAUAUUCUGGUAACUAUCUCAGCAUACUUGAUGUUUCCUUUUAAGUGUUUGAGGUUAUAACAAGAGACAGCCAAUGAUCUACAGGACAGUUGACUUUGUAUAGGAUAACAGUGCAGUUGCAUUCUGGCCAUUUUGACCUCAUAGCACACAAAUGAUUGGUUUGUCAUCUUUGUGAACUUGUGAUGGGAUAAUAAGCUUGAAGACUUGCUAUUGCUAGAUAUGGGCUUUAUUUAUUCUUCCCAUGCUCCAGUCAACUGCCCAAAGGCAUAACCAAGAUAUCCUGCUUAGACUUUAGAACAGGGGUCCUCAAACUACAGCCCGCAGGCCA